rnacentral:lncRNA from 1 species
UGCCUGCUAUUGCCAUAACCUAAGAUAAAGGAAAUAUUUAAUUUGUUUAGGAUAAAUUGUCCUGAAGGCGCUGGCAAUGGGAACAGAAGAUGAGUACGAGUGUGAGAAUGCCUGUGUGUCUUUCAGGACACUGAAAGGAAAGAGUUGUUAGCCCUAGGCAUUUUUCAGAAGGUGUUGAUGAAACUUCUAUGCUGUAAGAAGAGAAAGAAACUCCCACUAGCUGCGGUUAGCAACAAGACUCCUGAAGACAAUGAUAUGUGAAUGAAAAAGACAGGAACUAAUUUUACUCUAUUAUUUAUUGAAUGUCUGGGUGGAUUGACUAAAUGGAAAACAUCCAAGUCCAGAAGAUGAGAAUUUUCUGAAAGUAAGCAAUUUUCGUUUUCUGUGAUUUAUACUGCCUGUGUUUUGAAUUUGGGUUCAGAACAGUUUUAUUUCCUCAGUUGUGCUUGCUAUUUUUAGAUUCAAAGCAAAGCCC